NNNNNNNUAUAAGUAUAAUCUGCCAGUCAGAGAAACUGCGUACGGCUCAUUACACCAGCCUUAAUUUACUUGACCUUGACACCCUACUUGGAUAACUGUGGUAAUUCUAGAGCUAAUACAUGCACCAAAGCUCCAAUCUCCCCAGAGCGGAGCGCAUUUGUUCGCCACAAAACCAAGCGCCUCAGGGCGUUCAGUGUUGACUCAGAACAACUAAGCUGAUCGCACGGUCUUGCACCGGCGACGUGUCUUUCAAGUGUCUGCCUUAUCAACUUUCGAUGGUAGUGUAUCUGACUACCAUGGUGAUGACGGGUAACGGAGGAUAAGGGUUCGACUCCGGAGAAGGGGCCUGAGAAAUGGCCACUACGUCUAAGGAUGGCAGCAGGCGCGCAAAUUACCCACUCUCGACGCGAGGAGGUAGUGACGAGAAAUAACGAGACCGUUCUCAUCUGAGGCCGGUCAUCGGAAUGGGUACAAUUUAAACCCUUUAACGAGUAUCUAUGAGAGGGCAAGUCUGGUGCCAGCAGCCGCGGUAAUUCCAGCUCUCAAAAUGCAUAGAAUUAUUGCUGCGGUUAAAAAGCUCGUAGUUGGAUCUGUGCUGAGCGACCGGUCUGCCCACUGGGCACGCACUGGCUCGCCCGGCUUUCCCUGCCGGUCUCUCUCUGACGUUGGUUUUAACCGGCUGGCGUCAGUGGGCUGGCGAGUUUACUUUGAACAAAUCAGAGUGCUUCAAACAGGCGUCUCGCCUGAAUGUUCGUGCAUGGAAUAAUAGAAGAGGAUCACGGUCCGAUUUUAUUGGUUUUGCUGACCGAGAUAAUGGUUAACAGAGACAAACGGGGCCAUUCGUAUUGCUACGUGAGAGGUGAAAUUCUUGGACCGUAGCAAGACGGACUACAGCGAAAGCAUUUGGCAAGAAUGUCUUCAUUAAUCAAGAACGAAAGUCAGAGGUUCGAAGGCGAUCAGAUACCGCCCUAGUUCUGACCGUAAACGAUGCCAACUAGCGAUCCGCCGGCGGAUUCAUUCGCCCUGGUGGGGAGCUUCCCGGAAACGAAAGUCUUCCGGUUCCGGGGGAAGUAUGGUUGCAAAGCUGAAACUUAAAGGAAUUGACGGAAGGGCACCACCAGGAGUGGAGCCUGCGGCUUAAUUUGACUCAACACGGGGAAACUCACCCGGCCCGGACACCGUAAGGAUUGACAGAUUGAUAGCUUUUUCAUGAUUCGGUGGAUGGUGGUGCAUGGCCGUUCUUAGUUCGUGGAGCGAUUUGUCUGGUUUAUUCCGAUAACGAGCGAGACUCUGGCCUACUAAAUAGUUGGCACAUUGCCACUGUGUGCACAACUUCUUAGAGGGAUUUUCGGUGUUCAGCCGCACGAAAUUGAGCAAUAACAGGUCUGUGAUGCCCUUAGAUGUCCGGGGCUGCACGCGCGCUACACUGGCAAAAUCAGCGUGCUUGUCCUCCCCCGAAAGGGGUUGGUAAACCGAUGAAAAUUUGCCGUGAUUGGGAUCGGACAUUGCAAUUAUUGUCCGUGAACGAGGAAUCCCUUGUAAGGGCGAGUCAUCAACUCGUCCUGAAUACGUCCCUGCCCUUUGUACACACCGCCCGUCGCUGCCCGGGACUGAGCCAUUUCGAGAAAACCGGGGAUUGUUGGCCUGACGGCUCUCGGGUCGUCUAGCCGAUGAGAACCGGCUUAAUCGCACUGGUUUGAACCGGGCAAAAGUCGUAACAAGGUAGCUGUAGGUGAACCUGCUGCUG
rnacentral:rRNA from 1 species